ensembl:snoRNA
AGGGAGAAAUAGGGUUGCUUGAAAAUAAUUCCUUAUCCUCUGUUUAUAACAUGCCCAACAGGAAACUGGGAUCAUUGUGAUGAGGGGCACAGAACUUGUGGCCUCUCUAUCAACAAAUUCCCUACAUGU